AGUGAAAGAGUUCCCCAUAUAAAUUACCACAAAACGAGCUCCUCAGAUUACUCUCCAUCUCUUCCAGAUCAGCCAAACCAGCCUUGCUCUUUUGCAGUACCCCCAUCCUCUCUCUCUCUCUCUCUGUUUUUGCCUGCACAGCAUGCAGACGACAGCAGAAGGCCAAUGAUGGGGUAAGAGUGGUCCAAGAGAGAGUUCUGAGAGAGCUACAUGCUUCAUUCCACCCCUCUGCUCCUCUCUUUAAGUCGUUUACCGUAUUUUUUUAACCUCACAUGAUGUUUUGUGUCCCAUUGCAGGUAGAUGCCAUCUUUUUACUCCCAUAUUUUUUUACAGCAUAAACGGACAUUAGCACACACAUCACAGCUUUCACAUGAUGUACAUGUGUAAGUAGUCUCCAGCUUCUUAUAUGAGAAUGGAGAUUGGAGAAUGUCAGGAGUAGCUAGUAGGAGAGCAACUGAGUAGCUAGGCUCCUUCCAAGUCCAUGUCAUGCCUUUCCACAGCUUUCUUGAACUUCUCUUGAGCUUUCCUCACCAAAAAGAAAGAGGAGGAGAAGAAGAGGAUCAAGAAAGCUGUGGGAAGUGAUGGCAGAUCAGGACUACUGUGCAUUUUGGUGCUCUCCUAAGCAAUUCCUUCUGAGCGAAUUAAGUAGUGGUCUCAUAUCUUUGGAAGCUAGGAAACCUAGAUGAAAUAUACUCUUUUAUCUUCCUUGCAUCCGAGGGAUAAAAUCUUUAAUCAACAAAAGGAAAGAAGAGCGACGUUCUGAAGGCUUGGGGUUUGGACUUGGCUAAUUCCAAAUCUAAUCACUUCUCCUUUAUUCACAAGCAAAGAGAGAAGGCAUCUUUUCUCAUAUACAUUCAUCUUUCUCUUUUAGAAACCUUGUCUCCAUUUUUUUUUAUUGACAGGUGCUAUAGACGUGAUCCAGAAGGAGUUAAUUUCUUUAAUUGCUUCAAGGUUAAUACUGGUUAAAGAUGGCUGUGGCUCAACCUUGGAGUCGGAGGUUCCUCCCGUUGUAACCUACCAAUCCAAGGAGAUCUUUUCGUCUUGGAAGGAUUAAUGCUACAUGAGAGCUGGUCCGGUUCAUUCAUUUGGCAGUGAAAUCAAGUGUUGGGUCGCUCUGUAAUCGAACACAAUCCAUAAAAACAUGUGGUCGCUCAUUUUAGCGUGUAAUCAUGCAUAGAAAACUAAGAAUUUAUGAUCCAUUAUUGACAAUGAAAACGCAAGUGCUGCCAGAAAAGAA